UAAAUUAGAGUGAAUAAAUGAAGACUCGGCACAGCACUUCUGAAAGGUUGCUGACCCCUGCUCUAGUGUAUGCAGUUGAAUUUAUGGAGGCCCCAUCGCUGGCACCAGAAAAUGCUGCAGGGCCUGCUGCUGCCAACUGGAAGUGGAGCCCUCACAUUCCUGCUAACUUGGAAUACAGGCUGGAGUUCCACAUGGAUGUGUGGGAGAGCGGAUGAGAGUGGGGGCAGCAAUGUGAGUGGGGGCAGUUAACUCCUUGUGUGCUGGCUGUACUCAAUCAUGCUGUGGCAUAGCCAGAUUGUGAAGAUGAGAACAGAGAUGUUCCCCUUCUCCUCUGACAGCCCCCCAUCCCACUUUCAAGAUCUCCUACCUCUGGCUGUAGUUUUAGUAGAAAAGUAACAGGGGGGUCAUGGUGGAAAGGGCAAAUGCAUGGAACCAUAUGAUUAACCCCUCCCAUAAAUCAGUGGCCCCAGGACCUUCACCUCCCAGCACUCAGGACUUAGUGCCAGUAGUAGAGAGAUGCUCAGCUCUUCCUGUUCCAGUAGCACAGACCCCUCCUACUAGAGCUAGGAGACACUCUUCAUAUAGCCAUAGAGAACCUAUGGCACAGCUGAGCAGUUCUGCUUCUAUCCAGUAGAGGGAAGUGGUACACAUCUAUAAUCCUAGGUAUCUGACUGGGUGCUCCACUCAUUGCCAGGAUAGUACCUCCUCCUGGUCACACUGGGGAACAGCUCAUGAGGCCAGCACCCCCUUCCACCAUCUCUCCACACACUGCAGCCUCUUCAUGACUUGGCCCUCCUACCAGGUCACCCUAUAUCGUGUCCCCAUCCAGGGUACCAGAGUCUUCCUUCAGCAAACUUGGGCAAUCUUGUCAUUCACUGCUGCACAG